rnacentral:rRNA from 1 species
ACUUGUUGGGUGACUGCGUACCUUUUGUAUAAUGGGUCAGCGACUUAUAUUUUGUAGCGAGGUUAACCGAAUAGGGUAGCCGUAGGGAAACCGAGUCUUAACUGGGCGAAUAGUUGCAAGGUAUAGACCCGAAACCCGGUGAUCUAGCCAUGGGCAGGUUGAAGGUUGAGUAACAUCAACUGGAGGACCGAACCCACUAACGUUGAAAAGUUAGGGGAUGACCUGUGGCUAGGAGUGAAAGGCUAAUCAAACCGGGAGAUAGCUGGUUCUCCCCGAAAUCUAUUUAGGUAGAGCCUCGGACGAAUACUUACGGGGGUAGAGCACUGUUAAGGCUAGGGGGUCAUCCCGACUUACCAACCCUUUGCAAACUCCGAAUACCGUAAAGUAAUAUCCGGGAGACACACGGCGGGUGCUAACGUCCGUCGUGAAGAGGGAAACAACCCAGACCGCCAGCUAAGGUCCCAAAGUCAUAGUUAAGUGGGAAACGAUGUGGAAAGGCCCAGACAGCCAGGAGGUUGGCUUAGAAGCAGCCAUCCUUUAAAGAAAGCGUAAUAGCUCACUGGUCGAGUCGGUCUGCGCGGAAGAUGUAACGGGGCUAAACUAUGCACCGAAGCUGCGGAUUCAGAAUUUAUUCUGAGUGGUAGGGGAGCGUUCUGUAAGCCGUUGAAGGUGUACCGGGAGGUAUGCUGGAGGUAUCAGAAGUGCGAAUGCUGACAUGAGUAACGAUAAUGGGAGUGAAAA